CAGAGGCGCACAGGACCGGCGACGGCUGCACUGGGGCUGGAACUGGCGGCAGGGCAUUGUCAGGGCGGGACCCGGCGAUCGCAGGGUGGGCGGCUUGCAGGGAUCAGAAGCAGGAGGCAGGAGGUCCGGGCACCCGGCUCUGGGCAUCAGGCCGCUCUUUAUCCUGAAUCCCCGCCUCCCUCUGCCCUGACGCCCUGCGCGCACUCCAUCUCAGGCCGCGAAGUGGGCCAUGUGAGCAGUCUCCCUCCUCCUUUCCCCGCGGGCGACACGAGGAGCCCAGGGCGCAGCGGGCUCGAAUCACAUAGUGCCCGCCCCGGAUUUCGUGCGCAGAGAGAACCCCAGGCCCCACAGGCCCUCCCACGCUCUGCCCAGAUCCCUGGGCAAGAGUCCACCGUCAGCAUCGUCGCUUAGUGCUCUCCCUGGUUAUUCCAGAAACACCAGUCGCUGAGGAUCUCUCACCUGCAGUUCCCUGCUGGAUCUUCAUUCUGACUGGGCUGUAUCAUGAACCAUGGUGAUGAUCUUCAUGAGCAAUCCUUCAAACUGACUGGAGUUGUGUCUCUGCGAGUCUUUGUUAUUGGCGUUUUGCUAUAUUUGUUUGUCUAGACUGCUGUAAUAACAUACCAUAAAUUAGGUAGCUUGUAAAUAACAGAAAUUUAUAUCUCACAGUUCAGAAGACUAGGAAGUCUAAGAUCAGGGCACCAGCAUGGUUGGGUUCUGAUGAGGGCUAUCUUCCAGGUUGCAGACUGCUGACUUCUCGUUGACUUCUCGUGUGGUAGAAAGGAUAAACAAGAUCUCUCAGCCUCUUUUGUAAGGACACUAAUCCCAUUGUAAGGGUUCUGCCCCCAUGAGCUAGUUACCUCUGAAAGGCAGCACGUUUUAAUACCAUCACCUUAGGAGUUAGGUUUCAACCUACGAAUUUUGGGGCAUAUAUUCAGACCAUAGUAUGUCUUAAGUUGGAAGUUGAUCCUAAUUCACAGUGGUUCUGGCUCAGAUACUGUCAGCCAUUCUGGGUUAGAUCCUACUUGGUGCUCUGGAUUACACCUCAGUUAAGCUAUUGCCACAUUAUAGACCUUCCUCUCCCCCAAAUAGUUUUGCUUCUGACUUUUGGAAUAGUGUCUGGAAAAUGACACCCCCCCCAUAUUUUCUAAGUAUGAUCUGUGUGAAAGUCUUAGUUGAAAUGUUGUUAUUUUAGCCAAGUUGAUUAAUACUGAAAGGUGUUACUAAGGCUAUAUAUUAAUGGAACUUCUGACAGUAGCUGCCAUUGGGUGAGCUUAGAUUAAAUAGUAAUUGUGAUUGAAAAGGAAUGUAAUUAAUUAUACCAUUUGAGUGGUUCUGGCUCUCAUUAAAAGGUGUCAUGAUUCAAGGAAUUGUGAUAGACAACCCUCAAAGUUAUACAGUUUUUAUUAAACCACAAGCACAGUGGAUUCAACUUUGGAAUGAUGUUCUUUCUCAGGGACCUUCCUGAAUUAUCAACAUUUUAUAUAUAUGUAAUAUAUAACAACUGUGUGGCUAGUCCACACCUGGAUUUCUAGCCAUUAGACUGGCUAACAAGAACACUUGGAAUUCUAAGGUUUCUUUAUGAGACAUUCAAAGGCCUUUGCCUAAAACCAUUUGUCUGAUAAAUGGAAAUUCAAAUAUAGGAAACCUAAUGGUCAUUUUGACAAUUUAGCUCUAUUUAUUUAUUCAUUACAAAAAUGGCAAAAAUGCGGUUUUAAUGAAGAAACUUACAUACAUUAUUCGUUAUUUUUAUUUUAAAACUGACCUGGGUAUAAAACAGAUUGUUGCAUUUUCUGAUGUGAUUUUUAACAAGAGCAGAGUAGCAGACGAUUUGAGCAUAACUGUAGAACACUGCAUGAUUGAAUGAGUGAAAUGCCAUACAAUUUUCAGUACUAGGUAGAAUUCUCACUACCCAUUAAAUUGAAAAAUGAGAGAAGCAAGACUUCUGCUGCCACCCACUUUGGUAAAGAGUCCAGUUUUCUUGGUACAAAAAUAAAAUGCCUACUCCACUCUCUUGAGCAAUAUCUUUGAAAUAUUACUAACCUCCAUGGCAGAGGUUGCUUAAUCUGCAAAUGUUUUGGCUAGCAAACCAUUAUUAUUGCUAAUAACCCUUACUCACAUUAUCCAGAGAACUGCUUCUUCUACCAUUCUUUAACAAAUGGAAUAUAGCAUAGUAGGCGUACUGAGCCGUAUUAAAUUUUACACAUCAUUAGUCCCUACCUCCCUUAAAGUUUUAGCUUAUAUUUUUUCUUUUCUAUCUUCCCCACAAAGACAUUUUUUUGUCCACUAAGGAAACAUAUUGAGUGAGAUCUCAUGCAGAUUAGUGUAAUUCUCUUGUGUAAUUUUGUUUAAAAAAUAGUUAAAGGGCUAUGGGAAAAUGUGGUGACUUUGAUAAAAAUAUUUUAAAAGUAAAAAUAAUGUGUUUUGACCGUGUGAAUGAUGUCACAUUUACUGUGUAAUAUGUAAUUUAAAACAACUACCACCAAAAUUUUUUUUAGUUUGACUCUCUUGAUUCACCAUAAUUAUAUCACAACAAACUCUUUUCAGCAGGAUCAGUUUUUAAGGUUGAGUUUAUUAUAAAAAUAUUUACUUAUAAUCCUCCAUUCAUUAAUUGUUUUAUGGUCUGAUAUGCUUUGGCUCUGUGUCCCCACCCAAAUCUCAUCUCAAAUUGUAAUCCCCACGUGUUGAAGGAGGGACCUGGUGGUAGGUGAUUGGAUCAUGGCGGGAGUUUUUCCCAUGCUGUUCUCUGACACUGAGUGAGUUCUCACAAGAUCUGAUGGUUUAAACGUGUUUUGCGGUUUGCCCCUCACUCUCUCUCUCUCUCCUGCCACUAUGUAAGAUGUUCCUUGCUCCUCCUUUGCCUUCCGCAAUGACUGCUAAUUUUCUCAAGGCCUUCCCAGACAUGCAGAACCAUGAAUUCAAUGAAACCUCUUUUCUUCAUAAAUUAUACAGUCUCAGGUAGUUCUUUAGAGCGGUGUGAAAAUGGACUAAUACAUGGUCAUAUUUUUAAUUUUUGGUAUGCAGUGAUUUGGAAAUUUCCACCAGUUUUUGCUGAAUUAGGUAAAAGGUAUUUUCAGAGAACAACAUGCAAACUAAAAGUAAGCCUUCUUUCCAGCUGCUAAAAAUUGGCUGUUUCUUUUAUAAGUUUUCAAAGGCAAAGGCAACAUUUCAAUCAGCAGUGAGUAUUCUGCCUUUCACCAAAUACAGUAAAAACAGAUCUGCGAAUUAUUCAUAAUGAUCUGUCAUCAGUUCUUGCCAAUCAUGGUAUUCAUAUGUUAGUGAACACCAUUUAUGUCUCAAGCCAUAAGUAGGAAUUUUUUUGAAUCAAGACUUGAACUAGGACUUGAGAUAUGUGUUGUGAAGUCAAGCAGAACCAGCUCGAUUUCUCAGCAGGACGGGACAAUAAAAUCUGUAAGUGUGCAGGCGAGGUGACAUAGGAUAAACAAAUUGGAUGUCUGAUUGAAUUAUGUCUAUUAAAAUCAACAUUUGGUUGGUUAAAUAAUAGUAUAAGUUUUUAUGGAAAUUUACAAUGAAUCAUUCCUUAAUGUAGCAUUUAUAAAGCCGUUAGCUGGCCUAAAAUAUAAAGAGCUAGGAAGUUAUCACUGCCAUACUUGCAGCAAGAAAGGCCCUGAACAAACUGAAAAUCAACAGCUAUUGGUAAAUUAGUCAGAGCAUUGAAGUCAAAGGGAAAACUCCUCCCCUCAAAACUAGGGAGCCAGGAAAAGGGAAAAUUAUACCUUAUUGGGCACAGAAGCAAUUGCUAGAUCCUAAAGAGGAACCAACUAAUUGUUAGGGAUUGAACACAGACUAGCUUGAGAGAAAAAAACUUUCGGGGAUCCCGGCUAAUGAGGGCUACACAUUUUUCUGAGUUUUACCUUCAGGAACUCCACCGGGUUCUCAGGGAGAUAAAAUUGGAGAAGAAUCCUUUCCGUGCUUCAAGCAAGGGGAAGGAUAAUUUAACAAUUUCAAAAUAAGCUCAGAGCACUCUCUUCUCAUUGGCAAAAGAUCUGUACUCCAGGGAAAUAAUUUUACCAGACUCCAACCAUCUUGAGUUUUAUCAAAAUCUAAUUGAUCUGGAAGAAGGAAAAUACCUAACUCUAGCUUUCUUUAGGCUUCCUGUCUCACCUAAUGGGGUAGGAAAAGGAAAGGAAAACACUGAGAAGCACUUGUGAAGGUUAAAGCUGAGGAACACAGGCUUAAAAAAGACCGAAACCUUAUCAUAGAAAUAUAGAAAGCUUCCCACCUAUCACCACAUGAACAAGACUCCCGUUAAAAAUAACGGGAUUACAGUUGAAAGAACUGCCAGCCUCAGACCUUAUUUAUAAGUAAAUUUCUGGGUAAACCUAAAGACAACCAGGGGAGGCGAAAACAAGGACACUAGAUGGAAAUUCUGAAAAUGAAAAGGAAAUACUAGACAUCAAAGACACUUUAACAGAAAUGAAGGAUGUCUUGAAUGUGCUCAUCAGUGGAAAGAAUUAGUGAGCUUAAAGAAUCUGUGAACUUAAAAAUAUGUUAAAAGAAAGCUGAAAAGCAAAGAGAAAAAGGAGUCAAAAAAGGAAAAGAAGUGUAAAUGGCUCUUGAGCUAGAAAAAUAAUGAUGUCUAUCGUGUGUAUAAUGGUUUAUGCAUGUGUGCACAUGCUUGAGUUAACUUUCUAAAGAAAACCGGUAUUCAUGCAGUUUCGGAACUUGCUUCAUUUAUCCAAUGUGCUUCUUUUUCAGAAAAAUUUGAUAUGUGAUUACAUAUUACAUUAUUUUAUUAAAGUCUGCCAUUCCCCCACCUCUAGCUUUUUGUGCUUCCAGGGUUUCUCAAUCAGCUCUCCCAACAUUUCUCCCAAUAACAUCUGGGGCAACUGAGCAGCUUUCACGAAUCCUCACACUCAUCACAUCCCAUAAAAAGGGACCUUAUUGAUAAUAAGGUUCUCCCACUUUAGAAAAAAAGUAAUGGUUUGCAAAGCAAAUGUACUUGUUAUUUUUUACUUUACAUGUGGGAGACAUUGUAAUCUAGUAAAGGAAUGUCUCUGUGUAAGGUUUGUAGACAGAAAUUAUGAAUCUUGAAUGAAAUGCCAAAUACUAAUGCGCAACUCCUGGGACAUUCUGCUUUCCAUAGUUAGUUUCAGUGAAUGAUGAAUUUAGAAAAGAUUUUCUAGAAAUGAGUGAAAAUGACAAAAUAGCAGGCACAUUGCAGAUGCUUCGCAUUAAUGGUGAGGAAAAAAAUUGAAAAAUGUUGAAAGAUGUAGAAUAUUCUAACUGCAAUAAUAUUUGUAAGAUAUUUUCUUUAGGUUUCUCAUUUUUCACAAUUGAUACUUUUGUGGAAAGUUAUGGUGCAUUUUUGGGAGGAUAUUGAUUGUUUUAUGGUCCGAUAUGGUUUGGUUCUGUGUCCCCACCCAGAUUUCAUCUCAAAUUGUAAUCCCUACGUGUUGAGGGAGGGAUCUGGUCGUAGGUGAUUGGAUCAUGGGGGCUGUUUUCCCCAUGCUGUAAAAUUUAAAUUUCAUUGGGAUGUGGACUAAUUGAGAUAAACACUUAAAUUUCACUAGGAUGUGGACUAAUUGAGAUAAAUCUUCGAUAAAUAUUAUCAAUGGAAAAUCUGUUUAAAAAUGAAUUAACUUUUCCUGACUUGGUAUUUUAUGGCCAGAUUUCCAUUGAUUACUUAGUAAAUAGAAUAUUUGUUUAAAAAGGUGGUUUUUGUUUCCUGUUCUCCUAUUUUGAAGAGGAUAAAGGGUGUCUCACUUGGUAGAAAUAAUAUUCACCCAUUCCUUUCUCUUUUUGUCUGACAAUCUGAUUAAGAAGGUACCUAAAAAAGGAACCAGGAAGAAAGUGUGGAGGUCACUUUUUAAGGAUGGAGAAAGAGAAAGGAAAUAUUAGGAUAAGUGAAGUAACAAUGUUUCCAUGAUGAAUGUUUUGGGAGGAAAAAGAUGGAAAAAAUAACGAAGCUUUCUUUCAAAGGAAAAAACCUCAGAUUUUCAGGUCAUUUUUUGUCUCUGCCUUAAUUAUAUGUUAACAGCAUUUGAUUCUUAUUUCACAAGAAUAAGCUUGCAUAUGGGAAAAGAAGGGAGGCAUCAGGUUACGAGAGUGUCCCACAGUUCUCUUUCUGCUAUUUUUGCUAUUACUACUCCUGCCUUGUUCUGCCUUAUAAACCUUGCCCUUCACUAGUGAGGAAUACAAGCACAGUUCAGAAGAGACUGUCUAUCAUAGCCCUGAAAAUAAUCACCUUUCCUGAGAUAGUAAAAUUUUAUUUUAGAAUAGUGGAAUACAGUGCUAAAUUGAUCACUGUGUACUGCUUCCUUGUUUCUUUUGUUAUCUAUAUUUUAAAACAUUUUAGGUCAAAAUUUCCUAUUUUCAAACUGUGUUUCUGUGACAACAGAAAAUCUAAAAAUAAAGCUUAAUUUUAGAUUUUUUUAAACCUAUAAGCCUUAAAAUACCUUGCAACUUACUUUUCAUUUCCCUCAUAGAUUUUCUUCAGGGAAAAUAACUUUCAUAUAAAGUUACAGCCAUAGGCUUGCUAUUCAUUAAACCUAACUGCUUGAUCUCAUGAUUAACUUAAGAGAAACCUUAACACUGAGCUUUUGCUUUUAAUUAUUUCUGUGCUGAGUUAUUGAAAUACAAUUCCAAAUUAUAUUUAUUUAUAUACAUACACAUGUGUGCAUAUAUAGGCUACAUAUUUUAUGUUAAUAUUUUAUAUAUUGUAUCUAGGGCAUAAAGAGUAACUCCGUG
rnacentral:lncRNA from 10 species